rnacentral:rRNA from 1 species
AACCAGCACCUCAAGUGGUCAGGAUGAUUAUUGGGCCUAAAGCAUCCGUAGCCGGCUCUGUAAGUUUUCGGUUAAAUCUGUACGCUCAACGUACAGGCUGCCGGGAAUACUGCAGAACUAGGGAGUGGGAGAGGUAGACGGUACUCGGUAGGAAGUGGUAAAAUGCUUUGAUCUAUCGAUGACCACCUGUGGCGAAGGCGGUCUACCAGAACACGUCCGACGGUGAGGGAUGAAAGCUGGGGGAGCAAACCGGAUUAGAUACCCGGGUAGUCCCAGCUGUAAACUAUGCAAACUCAGUGAUGCAUUGGCUUGUGGCCAAUGCAGUGCUGCAGGGAAGCCGUUAAGUUUGCCGCCUGGGAAGUACGUACGCAAGUAUGAAACUUAA